GUGAACGCUGGCGGUAGGCCUAACCCCUGCAAGUCGAACGGCAGCACAGUAAGAGCUUGCUCUUACGGGUGGCGAGUGGCGGACGGGUGAGGAAUACCUCGGAAUCUACUUUUUCGUGGGGGAUAACGUAGGGAAACUUACGCUAAUACCGCAUACGACCUACGGGUGAAAGCAGGGGAUCUUCGGACCUUGCGCGAUUGAAUGAGCCGAUGUCGGAUUAGCUAGUUGGCGGGGUAAAGGCCCACCAAGGCGACGAUCCGUAGCUGGUCUGAGAGGAUGAUCAGCCACACUGGAACUGAGACACGGUCCAGACUCCUACGGGAGGCAGCAGUGGGGAAUAUUGGACAAUGGGCGCAAGCCUGAUCCAGCCAUACCGCGUGGGUGAAGAAGGCCUUCGGGUUGUAAAGCCCUUUUGUUGGGAAAGAAAAGCAGCAGGUUAAUACCCCGCUGUUCUGACGGUACCCAAAGAAUAAGCACCGGCUAACUUCGUG
rnacentral:rRNA from 1 species